GAUGAACGCUGGCGGCGUGCCUAAUACAUGCAAGUAGAACGCUGAAGCUUGGUGCUUGCACCGAGCAGAUGAGUUGCGAACGGGUGAGUAACGCGUAGGUAACCUGCCUCUUAGCGGGGGAUAACUAUUGGAAACGAUAGCUAAUACCGCAUAAAAGUCGAUAUCGCAUGAUAUUGAUUUGAAAGGUGCAAUUGCAUCACUAAGAGAUGGACCUGCGUUGUAUUAGCUAGUUGGUGAGGUAACGGCUCACCAAGGCGACGAUACGUAGCCGACCUGAGAGGGUGAUCGGCCACACUGGAACUGAGACACGGUCCAGACUCCUACGGGAGGCAGCAGUAGGGAAUCUUCCGCAAUGGGCGAAAGCCUGACGGAGCAACGCCGCGUGAGUGAUGAAGGUCUUCGGAUCGUAAAACUCUGUUAUUAGGGAAGAACAAAUGUGUAAGUAACUAUGCACGUCUUGACGGUACCUAAUCAGAAAGCCACGGCUAACUACGUGCCAGCAGCCGCGGUAAUACGUAGGUGGCAAGCGUUAUCCGGAAUUAUUGGGCGUAAAGCGCGCGUAGGCGGUUUUUUAAGUCUGAUGUGAAAGCCCACGGCUCAACCGUGGAGGGUCAUUGGAAACUGGAAAACUUGAGUGCAGAAGAGGAAAGUGGAAUUCCAUGUGUAGCGGUGAAAUGCGCAGAGAUAUGGAGGAACACCAGUGGCGAAGGCGACUUUCUGGUCUGUAACUGACGCUGAUGUGCGAAAGCGUGGGGAUCGAGCAGGAUUAGAUACCCUGGUAGUCCACGCCGUAAACGAUGAGUGCUAAGUGUUAGGGGGUUUCCGCCCCUUAGUGCUGCAGCUAACGCAUUAAGCACUCCGCCUGGGGAGUACGACCGCAAGGUUGAAACUCAAAGGAAUUGACGGGGACCCGCACAAGCGGUGGAGCAUGUGGUUUAAUUCGAAGCAACGCGAAGAACCUUACCAAAUCUUGACAUCCUCUGACCCCUCUAGAGAUAGAGUUUUCCCCUUCGGGGGACAGAGUGACAGGUGGUGCAUGGUUGUCGUCAGCUCGUGUCGUGAGAUGUUGGGUUAAGUCCCGCAACGAGCGCAACCCUUAAGCUUAGUUGCCAUCAUUAAGUUGGGCACUCUAAGUUGACUGCCGGUGACAAACCGGAGGAAGGUGGGGAUGACGUCAAAUCAUCAUGCCCCUUAUGAUUUGGGCUACACACGUGCUACAAUGGACAAUACAAAGGGCAGCGAAACCGCGAGGUCAAGCAAAUCCCAUAAAGUUGUUCUCAGUUCGGAUUGUAGUCUGCAACUCGACUAUAUGAAGCUGGAAUCGCUAGUAAUCGUAGAUCAGCAUGCUACGGUGAAUACGUUCCCGGGUCU
rnacentral:rRNA from 1 species